GGACACUUAGCUCAGCUGGAAGAGCAUCCGCUUGACGUGCGGAAGGUCGAGGGUUCGAGCCCCCCAGUGUCCACCA
rnacentral:tRNA from 3 species